rnacentral:misc_RNA from 1 species
GCUCUUCGGACCGGAACAAAAGUAUGUAAUUUUACUACUAGUAAUCACUUUAAUAAUGGUAAAUUUGGAAAAUCAUUCUGAAAAAGAAGAGGUGGUAGUGCCUUGUCAUUGGGAAUUUCCCUAGUAAAAUCCAUUGAACCUGUAGAUGCUUGUCAUGCAUAGAAAAUUAAGUCCUUUGUUUUUUUUUUGGCUUUUUUUUUCUUUUACUUGUAGAGUUUGCUGCAUCAUUGGGGAAAAUGUCAUUAUGACUUUGUGUAGGUCUAGUGCUUGUAUUAAUUUAAUAUUAUAUCUAGGACUAGAAUGCAGAUGAUUAUUUGUUUUAAUAAAAAUUAUUCUGGUAACCUUUU